rnacentral:rRNA from 1 species
CACGUAGGGGCGAGCGUUGUCCGGAAUUAUUGGGCGUAAAGAGCUCGUAGGCGGUUUGUCGCGUCUGCUGUGAAAACUCGGGGCUUAACUCCGGGCCUGCAGUGGGUACGGGCAGGCUAGAGUGAUGUAGGGGAGACUGGAAUUCCUGGUGUAGCGGUGAAAUGCGCAGAUAUCAGGAGGAACACCGAUGGCGAAGGCAGGUCUCUGGGCAUUAACUGACGCUGAGGAGCGAAAGCGUGGGGAGCGAACAGG